UGGGGAAUAUUGGACAAUGGGCGGAAGCCUGAUCCAGCCAUGCCGCGUGUGUGAAGAAGGCCUUUUGGUUGUAAAGCACUUUAAGCGAGGAGGAGGCUACUUGGAUUAAUACUCUAGGAUAGUGGACGUUACUCGCAGAAUAAGCACCGGCUAACUCUGUGCCAGCAGCCGCGGUAAUACAGAGGGUGCGAGCGUUAAUCGGAUUUACUGGGCGUAAAGCGUGCGUAGGCGGCUUCUUAAGUCGGAUGUGAAAUCCCUGAGCUUAACUUAGGAAUUGCAUUCGAUACUGGGAAGCUAGAGUAUGUGAGAGGAUGGUAGAAUUCCAGGUGUAGCGGUGAAAUUCGUAGAGAUCUGGAGGAAUACCGAUGGCGAAGGCAGCCAUCUGGCCUAAUACUGACGCUGAGGUACGAAAGCAUGGGGAGCAAACAGG
rnacentral:rRNA from 1 species